rnacentral:lncRNA from 1 species
AUUUCUUUAUUUUUUAUAUUUUUUAACAUUAGGGGUAGUGCUCAAUUGGUCUGAUGUUGAUGUCAUUAUACUGCCUUAUGUGGUGCUCUUCAAAGCGGUUCGAGGUUAGCAUCCUCGGAUUGCAAACAUCGACUUUGUUAAGCAUUUAGAAGCGGUCCGAGCUGCCCAUUCUCGGACUGCCUUCUUUAGUGAUCUUCUGGGCAGUCCGAGGUUGGCAGCAUCAUACCGCAUUACCUCAUUUGUUUGCUAAGAAAUAAGUCGGUCAGGCUGCCUUCUGGACUGGGCACUAGGGCGCUGCACCAUCAGUUAAAUAACUAAAUAAAAAACUUAAAAAGCGGUCUUAGGAUGACAUCCUCAUAUUGAGGGAUAUUUUAAAAAAUAAAUAAAAAAACACAGAUUGACUGACCUUCCACAUAAUUUUCGCCUAAUAUUAACCUAUUUCGAUUUUUCCUAUUUUAUUCGUAUGUGACUUACUCUUUUUAUUUGUUAUUGGACAUUUUGUGCUGGAUCCAUUUUAUGGGUGCAAUGAAGAAAGGAUCUACGACCCGAAGCACCACAGCUACCGUUCAAGUCUCUCUCUCUCUGCCCAUAUGGUCAUCAUAUUGUUCUCUAACUUGAGUCGUUAGGGUUCUCCCUCUCAUGAGCCAGGUAUUGUUCUCCGACCCUUAAAUGUCUCUCUGUCAAGAAUAUCCUUUCAAAUAUUUUAUACUUCUAUAGAAAAAGUUUAUAUUAUUAUUAUCGUCUUUUGUAAUUUAUAAAAAAGUUUAUAUUAUUAUCAUUAUCAUUCGGCCCUUAUCCUUACUAUUUAGAAUUAGCUAUACAAAUCAUGUUCCUUCAUCAAAGGUUAUAUUCUCAGUGAAACCAUUAAUUAUUAUAUCUUUUCUCAUUACUUUCAUCUAUGUCUUUUGAGGUCAUCCUCUUGUCUUUUUAGAGCAUUCCCCUUGAAUCAAAUUAUCUCUCCUAACCAGUGCUAUUUUAGGUCGAUGUUGCAUAAUUUUAUAUUAUAAAAGUAAUCCAUCUUAGAUACCCAUAAAAAUAGUUAUUAUGAUGCUAGACAACUCUCAAAUUACGCAUCUUAACCUCAAGAAAUAUGCAUAUGAAAAAGAAAAAAAAAAAAUUUAAUACGCAUAUUGUAAUACAUUUUCUACAUUAUUCAUUGUCAAGAUUUUCAAGUAUUAUACAUCAAUUCGAUAUGCACUAUUCUCGAGGCUCCGAGUUUCAUAAUUAAAGGAAGAAGUAGAUUUUCAAGAUAUUGUAAAAGUUUCAGAUACCGUCUCUAUAUCAUUCGGUAGGGUUGGGAUAUGGAAUUACUUUGAUUGUUUAAGGCUGCCACCUUGUGUAAACCACACCCUAUUUUUAUUUAAUAAUAAUGAUUUUUGAACUUUAUAAAUAUAAAAUUAAGAAAAAACAAAAAACAAAAACAAAAAAAAUUAAAAUUAUGUGCUAAAAAUUGAUGCAAAUAAAUAAAUAAAAUAUAUAUAUAUAUAUAUAAGUGAAUUAUUUCAGCUAAAUAAUUAGUUCAUGACAACAAAGAUAAGGGCUUCUAAGAAUGUUGUCGUAAUGGGACGAAUAUAUGGUUCAUAGUUAUCAAGACCUUAAUUAUCAAAAUUGAACCCAACCAGUGGUUUAACCGGUUGGACAGUCGACUAUGUUUUUGUCAAUCCAUUCAAAAAUGAAAAUUAAAUUUAGUCUAAAACAAAUCAACACCAAUGUUUGACCGAUUUUACUCGGUUGGACCUAUUGGUUUUAAUUAGUUCGACCAUCUAAAUGAACUUUGGAAAAAAAUUUCAUACAGUUUUAUAUUUUUAACUAUUACAUAUAUUUUUAGUUAUGUUUUUUUAUAUUUUAAAAUUCAGCCCAACUAGUCUGACAACUGGUUGAACCAAUCCCUCAUAGGUUUGGUGAUCAGUUAGAUCAUGAUAACACUGAUGAAUAUUAGAUCGAACAGGCGGUCUGAUCGGUUGGACUUCCAAUCAAUAUCUUGGUUGGUCUGGUUUAAAAUAAAAUUCAGUUUUAAUGUUAAAAAAAAACCCAAAACUAGUAUUUGACCAGUUUUGGCCUAUCGGACUGGCCAGUUUCACGGGGUUCAACUGGCCAAAAAAGUUGGGCAUCAUUUUCAAUACGUUUUGUAUUUUUGAAAAUAUUACUCAUACUUCUCUUUAUGUUUUAAAAUCCAGUCAAACCGGAUCGAUUGGUCGUUGGUUUAGUUUUGAUUACAUCAGUCUCCAGUAACUAGCCUGAACCGGUUAAACCACUUACUAGUUUGAAUUGGUGGUCUGAUAGGUUAUUUAAUUGGCAAGGCGACUAGUCUAGUCAAAAUCAAUCCAACCACUGAUUGAACCAGAUUGACUAGAUUUUAAAACAUAAAAAAUAUUAUUUCAAAAUAUGUAAUAUACUUAAAAAGGUAUUGCCCAAUUUUAUUUGGCUGGUUGAAUUCGUCAAAACUUAUUGGUCGGAUUGGCAAUAACCGAUCAAAACAUUUGACCAGUUUCUUAUCAAAACCAAAUUUUAUUUUAGACUAGAAUGACUAAGGCAUCAGUUGACAUCGAUCGUGGGUAUGAGACUAUGAUGGCGUGUCAGAUACUCGACACACAUUGGUAAAGAGGGGCAUCUUUGAAAGACAGCUCUAAGAGCUCAAACCAAUGUUUUCAUAUUUGUUACAGAGUCUUUUUCGAUUUGGCGGAAAAAAUGAAGCAAUUUGGUACUUCGGUUGAUUCGUGGGAAAACUUCAGUUUUCUUUAAAAAAAUGAAUAUAAAUAAAGUAUAUAUUUAUAUAUAUUUUUAUAUAUAAAUAUUAGAAAUAAAUUAGAAACAAAUUUUUUAAAAAAAUACGUUUAUAUAAUAUUUUCUUUGCUUGCCGAAUCAGCCCGAAACAGAUCCAAAUCUUACCAAAGCAGUUUGAAGCAGCCCAAAUCUGACCAAAAUGACAGCAUCAGAUUUCGUUUCGCUUUGAUCUAAACCUAAAAGUCACAUGCUUUAAAGCGUAACAGAUUUGACAACACUAGCUCAAACGUCAACCUUACCAACCCAAACAUGUACUUCACGGAAACACUCUCAUUCUCUCUCUCGUUCGAUGCCAAGGAAGUUACAAUAAUAAUUCUCUCGCGUCCGAUGCUAAGGAAGUUACAGUAGUAAUAGCAAUCAUAGGACUUUUCUUUGAAUGUUAAAUCAUGAUUUUCAUUUUUUUUUUUUUAAGGUACGUUAGUGGGGAAGAAGGCCUUCUAUCCAUUUUUCUUUAUUAAUAAACAAUAAAGAAGAGAUAACUCAUUAUUUUACAACUCUAUAAUAGAGUAAUUACGUCAAAUCAUAAAAUUAAAAAAACGAAAUAAAGUCCAGCGGUCGAGAGUGCCAAAUAGUAGCUUCAGAAUAAAGUAAGAUGUCUUAUUAAAAGUUGGUCCAUUUAUAUUGCCAUAAUUUUCUAACUUUUCAAUAAAGGGCUACUAACAGUAGUAAAAGAAAAAAGCUCCUAAUUUUUCAAAUUCUAUUUAUUUCUAUUUUCAUAUUGGGUUCAAAAAUCUAACAUAAGAAUCGCCCAAAAAAAUAAAAAACUAGGGUCCAAAAGCCCAACUUUUAACUGCUUGAAGCACCAAAACCCAUGUUUAAUUGAUUAAAAAGUUCAACUUUGGGAUCACCCAAAAUAAAAAAAUAAAUAAAUAGGGGUAAAAUUAGAAUAAACUAAGAGUUGUUUAAAAUACAGUAGUAAAAACUCAUGGUAAAAUUAGAAAUUGGGAUAAAAUUAGAAUAAACUAAGAGUUCAAACAGAAAAGUUGUAUUUUUGUAUUUUGGGUUGUCUCAAAGCUUAACUUUAAAAUUUUGGGGUAAAAUUAGAACAAAUUUUUUGAAAAGUUUAGGAUGUCACUGUAAAAUGACCCAAAAUAUGGACUAGCUUAUAAUACCACUUCCUAUUUUGGGUCCAUAUAUAAAUUUCCUUCAAUGUAAAAUUUAUUAACUACCAAAAUGAUUUUGAAGACUCCUUUGGCCAAAAUAGUUUUCUUCGGAGUUCUUUCUUGAUAAACAUGAUUCAUUAUAGGAAAAGGGCUCGGUCGUGGUGGAAGCAUUCCCAUAACUAGUAAUCACAUUGUGGUUUCCAAUCCUGAAUAAGAUUCAUUAUAGGAAAAGGGCUCGGUUGUGGUGGAAGCAUCCCCAUAACUAGUAAUCAUAUUGUGGUUUCCAAUCCUGACAGGGUUCACAUUGUGUGUCCUAAUACCAUAUGUUGACACAACCACAUGUUGACACCUUUCGUAAAAGGGUCACAUGGUGACACCUUCCGUAAAAGGGCCAUGACCCGGUGCUGGUCCCACUUAUGCAAGGUCUCGAGAGGGGUAGACUGUGGUUUCCAAUCUUGACAGGGGUCACAUUGUGGAUCCUAACACCACAUGUUGACACCUUCCGUAAAAGGGCCAUAACCCGGUGCUGGUCCCACUUAAGCAAGGUCUCGAGAGGGGUGGACUGGAAACGGUCUUAACCUUUGUUAUGGACAAAGUGGCCGCUCUCAAGACUCGAACCUGCACUCUUACACUGACAACCCGAGUCUUUUACUAUCACACCAAAUGAUGGCCCUUUCACUGGUUGAGACCUUUAAAAAAGCUAAAGUCUUAAUCUAUAUGAAAAAACGGUAGGGGACCUAUCUUCCCCACUGAAUUACCCAAAAAAAAAAAUUUCAUUUGCAAUUCUACGCCCCUAGCGAGUCUGAUCUCACAAAAAGCCUCAUAAAAAUGUCAUUGUGGUCAUUGUCAACAAACCAAAAAGCCUUAUAGGAACGUCAUUGUGGUCAUUGUCAAAAAACCAAAAAAGAUGUCAUAGUGGUCUUUGGUCACCUGUGGCUUUCAAAGACUCCCCUUCAAAAUGAACCCCAUGAGCAGUAGAUGAGAAAAGUUUGUCCCCCUUAUGGAACACCCUCACCUCAACAUCAAUAGCUGUAAUACUGCACCCGGACCUGAAAAAGUUAAAGCAACAAUCUGAUAUGGUCCUUCACAGUCCCACCAGAACCUCGUGGCCCCCGAUUUCCAAGAGAAAUCAUCAAAUUUUAGUUUAAUUGAGCCCUCGGGUGGUGGUAACCAGUUACCAACCCUGAUCUUUCUCCUUGUCUUCAAUUUGACUACUACCCUAUGUCAUUCUUCAGAUUCCUAUGCAGUCCUUAGAGCCAUUUAGCUAUGGGGCCCAUAAAUCUGGCUUCAGAAGUUCCAUUGCCUGGUAUAACCGCCUCAAAAGGCCAUUGAUUUUGCUCCCACCGGCGAUGCGACAAUGAAACAACUUGCAAAAGGUGAGAUAGUACCGGUUCGGAUAUUACCCAUUGGAAGGCUCAAUCCAUUGCUCAAGAACUUGAAUCACAGCUCUUGUUAUAGGCAUAUAAUACACUGCAAGCUAGAUAGCAUUCACUCCACAACGAUUAUUUUAUCUCCCAAAUACAAAUAUUUUGUCUUCUACAGGUCGAGUUUGAACUAAAAUUUAUCACUUACUGAUCCCAAGUGGCCGUUGGCGCGUGAACUUCCACAACCAGGAGGUCCAAAAUACUUCUACAGGAAGCCUAUGUACACCACAUCCCAUAAUAAGUGCCCCCAUGCCCUCCUGUUGUUCAUCACAAGCCACUCAUAUCAUUUUCUUUUUUUUUUGUUCAUGUUAAAUUUGAAGCUAC